CUCGGAUCACAUCGGGUCCCCCGCGGAGCGGCGCGCGGCCGCGCCUGGGUCCCCUCCUGCCUGCGCCGCUGCGGCCGCUCUGGAGGCGGCUUUGCGCGGCUGCAGCCCCGCAUGCCGAGCCGAGCGGCCAGCAGGGAGUUCAGCCAAGUUAUCCCGUGUGCCUCGAAAGAGAUGGCUGCUGGGAACAUCUCCACUCUAUUUCGCGGGUCUUUGGGUCCCGAGUGACCCCUCUAGGCCAGUUGCCUCCGCACACUGACCGAGAUCGCCCCGGCGCUCGCCCCUUCUUUCCCUUUGGUUAGGGAAUUCGCGGCGAGGCGCGGGGAUCCAUCCGAAACAGAAAACUAGUUUUUCCCCCUGCCGGUGACUGCGAGGAACUGCCGGCGGCGAAACAAACCUCCGGGAAUUCAGACAAAAGAAAUUAAAAGCACCAGCAUAUACAAGAUUUUUGCCGCCACAUCCUUUGAACAAGCAAAGUGCUGAAAAAAAUUUGAACGUUCAUCAAUAGGAAAAUGGUUAAAUAAAUUAUGGUUCGUUACACUUUGUACUACUGUCAGCUAUUAAAAAGCAUGUUUGAGAACUAUUUCUAUUGACCUGGGAAGAUGUCUGUGGCCUGUUGCUAAGGAAAAGGGCAAGGUAUGUAGUAAGGGACUAACAUUCUAUUUUUGGUUUUGGUUUUUUGUGUAUGUUUUGUUUUUUUGUUGCGUGUGUGUGUGGGUGUUGUGAUUGGGAG
rnacentral:lncRNA from 1 species